rnacentral:piRNA from 1 species
GACCGUUGUAUCCGUGGGUCCCUGUUC